rnacentral:rRNA from 1 species
UGAAUAGGGACAGUCGGGGGCAUCAGUAUUCAGUUGUCAGAGGUGAAAUUCUUGGAUCUACUGAAGACUAACUACUGCGAAAGCAUUUGCCAAGGAUGUUUUCAUUAAUCAGGAACGAAAGUUAGGGGAUCGAAGACGAUCAGAUACCGUCGUAGUCUUAACCAUAAACUAUGCCGACUAGGGAUCGGACGAUGUUAUUUAGUUGACUCGUUCGGCACCUUACGAGAAAUCAAAGUGCUUGGGCUCC